AAGCGCAUGUGCUGUGAGCUCGAUGAGUAGGGCGGGACACGUGGUAUCCUGUCUGAAUAUGGGGGGACCAUCCUCCAAGGCUAAAUACUCCUGACUGACCGAUAGUGAACCAGUACCGUGAGGGAAAGGCGAAAAGAACCCCGGCGAGGGGAGUGAAAAAGAACCUGAAACCGUGUACGUACAAGCAGUGGGAGCCCCACCACCAAAGCAUUCUCUGGUGUUGAAGGCCCUGCAAAGCAGCAUCGCGGUGGCGGAGCGUCGUUUGCGACGCCCAACACACAAAACAAGCGGUGAGUGCUUUGGGGUGGGGUGACUGCGUACCUUUUGUAUAAUGGGUCAGCGACUUAUAUUCUGUAGCAAGGUUAACCGAAUAGGGGAGCCGGAGGGAAACCGAGUCUUAAUUGGGCGUUAAGUUGCAGGGUAUAGACCCGAAACCCGGUGAUCUAGCCAUGGGCAGGUUGAAGGUUGGGUAACACUAACUGGAGGACCGAACCGACUAAUGUUGAAAAAUUAGCGGAUGACCUGUGGCUGGGGGUGAAAGGCCAAUCAAACCGGGAGAUAGCUGGUUCUCCCCGAAAGCUAUUUAGGUAGCGCCUCGUGAAUUCAUCUCCGGGGGUAGAGCACUGUUUCGGCUAGGGGGCCAUCCCGGCUUACCAACCCGAUGCAAACUGCGAAUACCGGAGAAUGUUAUCACGGGAGACACACGGCGGGUGCUAACGUCCGUCGUGAAGAGGGAAACAACCCAGACCGCCAGCUAAGGUCCCAAAGUCAUGGUUAAGUGGGAAACGAUGUGGGAAGGCCCAGACAGCCAGGAUGUUGGCUUAGAAGCAGCCAUCAUUUAAAGAAAGCGUAAUAGCUCACUGGUCGAGUCGGCCUGCGCGGAAGAUGUAACGGGGCUAAACCAUGCACCGAAGCUGCGGCAGCGAACGUAUCACUUAAAGCGAUUCAGCGGGUUACGAUUGACGGAGCGAAGCGACGUCAAAGCGUAUACAAAGUCGAGUCGGUUUAAGGAUACGUUCGUUGGGUAGGGGAGCGUUCUGUAAGCCUGUGAAGGUGU
rnacentral:rRNA from 1 species